rnacentral:rRNA from 1 species
AUUGAACGCUGGCGGCAUGCCUUACACAUGCAAGUCGAACGGCAGCGGACCUUCGGGUGCCGGCGAGUGGCGAACGGGUGAGUAAUAUAUCGGAACGUACCUUUCAGUGGGGGGAUAACGUAGCGAAAGUUACGCUAAUACCGCAUAUUCUGUGAGCAGGAAAGCAGGGGAUCGCAAGACCUUGCGCUGAUUGAGCGGCCGAUAUCAGAUUAGCUAGUUGGUGAGGUAAAGGCUCACCAAGGCGACGAUCUGUAGCGGGUCUGAGAGGAUGAUCCGCCACACUGGAACUGAGACACGGUCCAGACUCCUACGGGAGGCAGCAGUGGGGAAUUUUGGACAAUGGGCGCAAGCCUGAUCCAGCCAUGCCGCGUGAGUGAAGAAGGCCUGGUGUAAG